GCAGAAAUAAUCUCCAAACAGCUUUUGUACCGUGGGGGAUAGGAUGAGGGAGCCAUGCAGGGAAGGAAAGAGGACGGGGCAAGGACAUCUAGACUGGAAGUAGGCACCCAGCAAAGAAUGAUCAUCAAAAGAGCAGAUUCUGGAGAGAUCCACGCAUACCCAGGACACCCCCCAGGUGUCUGUCCACUGGCCGUGAUUGCUUUUGAGAUGCUGAUUCCAGUUCACUGGGCAGCAGUCCGAUGUCAAAGAGAGAACGUGAGCUUUGGAGUCCCACAGACCUGGGUUUGAAAGUGAACUCAGCCUCUUCUGUCCGUACAGCCCAGGGCACAACAUCAUUGUGACUCAGUGUUCUCAUCUUUAAAAUGGUCAUUGUGAUUCGUAACUUGCAUGCCUGUGAGGAUUAAGUCCGAAAAAACAAUCAAGCUUCUUGCACUGGGCCUGGCACGUAGAGAAAUACCCAGGAGGCAGCGGUGGAGAGGACAAGAACAGCCAGGAGCCCCGACCGGAAGGAGCCCACGAGCACGGCGUGCUGUGCCCAAGGCAGAGCCGGCCAAGCUGGGAUGGGCAUGGGGAAAGAGCAAGGAGUCCAUGGAAAUUCUGCUUGUUAGUGAUGGUGAACUGGAGUGGCCUGGAUAUUUGAAUCAGCACCCUGGGUUUUUCAGCAGAUACCGGGGUUUUUCAGGUAUUUCAGAACUACACAGUCCUCCCAUGUUAUCAUCCUGUUGACUUUCCACAGUGAGUGGAAGGGGUCAUUCUCCCUAUUUUAGAGAAGAGGAAUGGAAGUCCAGAGAGGCUGAGUGACUGGGGAGCAGGUCGGGUGGCGAAUCAUCGGAGAGGCUGUGAUGUGAACUUGGCUUUUUGGGUGCUGAACCCAGCAGUAUUUCUUAUCUCGUGGUGGUGACCUUUGCAGGGUGACUGGUUUAUCCGGCGUUCUGGUGGAUCGGAGGUCAAGGCCAGGGGAGAGGCCUGUGUGGUUAGAGCAGCUGGAGAUGUUGAACUUGGGGUGGGCUUGUAUCGGUGGAGGGCGGGGCGGCCAGGAUUCUGGGAGCAAAGGACAUGGCACAGCCAGGAGACUGGUUUGCUAUCAGCUGCUAUUUACUGAGUUCUUUUUUUGGCGGGGGGUGGGGGGGGGCGCGGGUAGGGAGGGGGUUGGUCAGCCAACGUGUUAAUUUGUGGGCAAAUGUUAUUAUUUUUAGGGUGUGAAACCUGAGUCAGGGAGGCUGAAUACCUUGGCCAAAGUCACACAACAGAGCAAGGGACGGAGUCCCGAUUGCAAAGCUGCCGUGUCAGCUCUGAAGCCUGUGCAACUGACCACCAGGUUAACACCAGAAUUGUGAGCCUGUAAAGGUGCAGUGUUGGGAAAUAAAUUUAUAAAAAUCGGCCCGGGGCCA
rnacentral:lncRNA from 1 species